CGGGGAGUGGCGCAGCCUGGCAGCGCGCGGCGUUUGGGACGCCGAGGUCGCGAGUUCAAAUCUCGCCUCCCCGACCA
rnacentral:tRNA from 2 species